AGAGUUUGAUCCUGGCUCAGGAUGAACGCUAGCGGCAGGCCUAAUACAUGCAAGUCGGACGGGAUUGAGGAGCUUGCUCUUCAUGAGAGUGGCGCACGGGUGCGUAACACGUAUGUAACCUACCUUGUUCAGGGGGAUAGCCUCUCGAAAGAGAGAUUAAGACCGCAUAACAUUAUGAUGUGGCAUCGCAUUAUAAUCAAAUAUUUAUAGGAACAAGAUGGGCAUGCGGAACAUUAGCUAGUUGGUAAGGUAAUGGCUUACCAAGGCUACGAUGUUUAGGGGAUCUGAGAGGAUGACCCCCCACACUGGUACUGAGACACGGACCAGACUCCUACGGGAGGCAGCAGUAAGGAAUAUUGGUCAAUGGACGCAAGUCUGAACCAGCCAUGCCGCGUGCAGGAAGACGGCCCUAUGGGUUGUAAACUGCUUUUAUACGGGAAUAAAUCUCUUUACGUGUAGAGAGUGAA
rnacentral:rRNA from 1 species